rnacentral:rRNA from 1 species
CCUACGGGUGGCAGCAGUGAGGAAUAUUGGUCAAUGGACGAGAGUCUGAACCAGCCAAGUAGCGUGAAGGAUGACUGCCCUCUGGGUUGUAAACUUCUUUUAUAUGGGAAUAAAACGUUCCACGUGUGGGAUUUUGUAUGUACCAUAUGAAUAAGGAUCGGCUAACUCCGUGCCAGCAGCCGCGGUAAUACGGAGGAUCCGAGCGUUAUCCGGAUUUAUUGGGUUUAAAGGGAGCGUAGGUGGAUUUUUAAGUCAGUUGUGAAAGUUUGCGGCUCAACCGGAAAAUUGCAGUUGAAACUGGCAGUCUUGAGUACAGUAGAGGUGGGCGGAAUUCGUGGUGUAGCGGUGAAAUGCUUAGAUAUCACGAAGAACUCCGAUGGCGAAGGCAGUUCACUGGACUGCAACUGACACUGAGGCUCGAAAGUGUGGGUAUCAAACAGGAUUAGAUACCCGGGUAGUC